CUAAGCUAAGCUAACCGACUUUAUUCUUUCCGGUGAAAAGAUGAAAUAAUAAAUGUAACUUUGCAUAUUUCCCGUUUUUUGCCCUCCUCACCUCCUCUCAUCAUGGCUCGUCACAUCCGUCCCAACUUCAGGAUCCUGUCCCAGGGUGACGUCACUGGAGCGAGGCUAGCAGACAGACGUGACGGGUGAGGGUCGUGUAGACGGAGAGGUGGAGCAAAGAGAGGAAGUGCUGCACAAUGCUGACAAUGCUGACAUCAAAAAAUGUGAUCAACCAGUGGAGGAAGGAGAAUCUGGUCGUUUCUUUCAGGUAGUCUGGCUGCACAGAAUUUAUGGAUUCUCACUCCUCUCUCUGUCCAUCUGCAUGUCUGUGUGGAAGAAUGUGUCCAACUCCAGCAGCAAAACAG